UACCUCAAACACUGCAACAUGGAAGGAACACAAGAAAACAAGGUGAUAGCAGCCAUCUACUACUCAAGGUUGAGAAACCUCCACUGGGAUCAACUUAAAAAAGCUGCCAGCUGCCACCUGGGAGCCCCCACUCACUGUGACCUCACUGCUAUGGAUGGAGUGGCUUCCUAAGGAUGCUUGUGCCAGUUCGGAAGGUCUGGAGUUAAUGUUAUACCCCAAUCUGAGCUUCUGUGUUUGGUCUCUGUAUCAUACAUGAACAAGUUAAAAAAUAAAGGCCAUGUAAACACUUUAA